GGUUUCUCUCUCUCUCUCUUCUUAUGUUGUGUUCCGGCCAAAGGUUUUGAUUCAAUGUGUGAACAAAGGUAUACAAAGUGGUGCGGGACCUGCCAUAAGGGACAAAGAGCAUGGUGCUGAAUGGAAAACACACGCUUUAUGGAGACUCAAGGGCACCUUCAAGGAAACAGGGUAAAGAACAGUAGGCCACUAGGAACUGAUGAAAGCUCUAUGACGCUAUGAAGGGCACCGUAAACCUCCCUGCAGACUGGCAGGAAUGACAGACUUGUUUCCGUGGAAGAAACUGGAGGAGGCACGAUGUGAUUUCAGGGGGCUUUGACACGAAUGGAGGAGCAACUGCUGAUAAUGCAAGUGCCCUUAGUGUUCCCACAUCCUCCGUGGCAGAUGAAGCCACUGUGGGUGGACGAGUAGAAGCAGCAUAAUCCCAUCCCCGUUGUUUAGUGCUCAGGUACUUGGCUCCCAGCUGCCCAGCUGGCCUGGACAAGCCAGAGGCUUGGGGCAGACACUGCUGCAGGUCUCUGAUAUCCAUCCUUUCCUUUAUGGGAAUAUAUCCACCAAUGUAUGGCUGGGCACAUGGCUGUCCACAAUAAAGACUGCAUUUCCCAGCUUCCCUUGCAGCUAAAGGUGACCUGUGUGACUAUGUUCUGGCCAACGGCAUAUAAGCAGACAUGGUAGUACAACAGCCUUCAGGAACGUUCCUUAAGAGAUAGUUAUAAGCACCCUUUGGCUCCUUUAUUCCUUCAUUCUACUGCCUGGAACUUGAAUGCUGCCAUCGUGGACCAUGAGGUCAAGGUCAUGGAGGGGUAUUACAAGAUAGUGUCUGGAUACCAGACACUGGGGAACUACUUUCUACUCCUGAUCACCCAUCUAGAUUUUAUGUGAGAAGAAAUAAACUUCUGUCUUUUCUCUAUUA